rnacentral:rRNA from 1 species
AGAUCUGAGUAUAUCAAUAUUACCUUGUUCAGAACUUAAAGAGAAAUCUUGAGUUUAUGGACUUCAGGGGGAGUAUGGUCACAAGGCUGAAACUUAAAGGAAUUGACGGAAGGGCACACCAGGAGUGGAGCCUGCGGCUUAAUUUGACUCAACACGGGAAAACUUACCAAGACCGAACAGUAGAAGGAAUGACAGAUUAAGAGUUCUUUCAUGAUUUAUUGGGUAGUGGUGCAUGGCCGUUCUUAGUUGGUGGAGUGAUUUGUCAGGUUAAUUCCGGUAACGAACGAGACUGAAACCUAUUAAUUAGUUUUCUGCCUAUAAGACAGAAAUGUUCGCAAGAACAGGUGCGUAAGUACCACUUCUUAAAGGGACACAUUUCAAUUGUCCUAUUUUAAUUGUAGUUAUCUAAUUUCG